AUUAAUAUCUGCAUUGGUGAAGUGUGAACCAUGAUAUCCACUAUACAGGAUGCUAUGGAAAUAUAAUGAGAUGAUACAUGGGAAAGCAAUUUUUUAAAUGUGAAAACAUCAUCAACACGUUCAUAGUUCAUCUUUGAAACAAACGGAGAGGUGGAAAGAAUGUGGAAAAGAACAGCUUCAAGGAUGAUUCUCCAUUGGAAGGGGUCGGAAUCCUGAAUAUUUUCUUAGCUUUACUUCUCAAUAAUAUCAAAGCAUGGAAUGGGAAUGUAUCCAGAGCAAAAAUAGCCACAUCUGUGUUAAUGUCAAAGUCUCAUCAACUGGACUUGGGAGAGAAAGAGAAAGCACUCAGACUGUCAGCUGGAGCAAAGGAAUAGCCGUUCCCCAUGACUGGAGCUCACAGGCCAGUGUACCUGAGAUUCGUGCAGAAGAGAAGAAGGCCUAAGGAGAGUCACAGCUUCGUGUUUUGCUAUCCCUGGGCACCUCAGGCUCAUUUCUUGGUUUCCCCAACUCCAUUCAUACUCCUUGUAAAUUUAAAGUCCCUUGCAUUGAAGAUGUACAAACAUCAGUGACAGAGAUGCCGUCACCCUUGUUUCGAACUUGAACUUAGUUUGAACUUCUCCAUGGACAGCUCAACAGGCAUCCAUCUCCCCUACUCCAUCUGCAUGUGGCAACUGCCCCAUAAUUUCGACUUGGGUCUGCAGUCCUGGUGGGGCACCCAGUCCUGGUGUUUUAUCCUCUUCUGACAAAGGGUUGGACACAUAGCCCAUGACUGACCAAUCAGAUGCCCUUCCUAGAACAUGAAUCUUGAACAAAAUGACUCAGAAAGACUUGCAACCAUUUUAUCAUAUUCAUCUGGGUGGUACUCUCCUGAAAAGACUUCCCAUAGUUGUUGCUCCCUAGAUCUGGUGAGCUGCUCUGGGACCUGCCCUUUCCCAUGCGGAGUUCUUUAGAUCUUUCUCUGAAUUUGUGAGAUUCCUAUAUCCUUGCAGCAACAUUGUUUUUUAUAAAGUUACCAGCUUUGAUUUCUCCAAUUUACCACCAAAAAAAACUCUAACCAAGAAAUACACAAGUAUUAUUGUUUACAGAGAUUGAAACUGACACUUACUGAGAUUACGUGACUUGCCCAAGAUCAUCCAGGCAAUAUAAAGACAUAUCACUAAAGUUUGUGCUUAAUUUUAAUCAACUCUCUUCUCAGUCUCUCUAUAUAGAUAUAUAGAUGUGUGUGCUUUCUUAUAUGUAUUCUUCCACAGUUGAGAUACAAUUAUAUUCACAAUUUUAAUUAUUUUCAGCCUUUAUUUUGCCACAUGAUACAAUCACUGUAGAAAAUUUCAAAAUUACUGUAAAGGACAAAGAAGGUAAAACUUACCCAUUAUUCCGAA